rnacentral:rRNA from 1 species
CGGGGGGGGCAAGCGUUGUUCGGAAUUACUGGGCGUAAAGGGCUCGUAGGCGGCCAACUAAGUCCGACGUGAAAUCCCCAGGCUUAACCUGGGAACUGCGUCGGAUACUGGAUGGCUUGAAUUCGGGAGAGGGAUGCAGAAUUCCAGGUGUAGCGGUGAAAUGCGUAGAUAUCUGGAGGAAUACCGGUGGCGAAGGCGGCAUCCUGGACCGACAUUGACGCUGAGGAGCGAAAGCUAGGGGAGCAAACGGGAUUAGAUACCCCGGUAGUCCUAGCCCUAAACGAUGAAUGCUUGGUGUGGCGGGUAUCGAUCCCUGCCGUGCCGAAGCUAACGCAUUAAGCAUUCCGCCUGGGGAGUACGGUCGCAAGGCUG